GACGAACGCUGGCGGCGUGCUUAACACAUGCAAGUCGAACGAAGAGCGAUGGAAGCUUGCUUCUAUCAAUCUUAGUGGCGAACGGGUGAGUAACGCGUAAUCAACCUGCCCUUCAGAGGGGGACAACAGUUGGAAACGACUGCUAAUGCCGCAUACGAUCUGACCUCGGCAUCGAGGAUAGAUGAAAGGUGGCCUCUAUUUAUAAGCUAUCACUGAAGGAGGGGAUUGCGUCUGAUUAGCUAGUUGGAGGGGUAACGGCCCACCAAGGCGAUGAUCAGUAGCCGGUCGGAGAGGAUGAACGGCCACAUUGGGACUGAGACACGGCCCAGACUCCUACGGGAGGCAGCAGUGGGGAAUCUUCCGCAAUGGACGAAAGUCUGACGGAGCAACGCCGCGUGAGUGAUGACGGCCUUCGGGUUGUAAAGCUCUGUUAAUCGGGACGAAAGGCCUUCUUGCGAAUAGUUAGAAGGAUUGACGGUACCGGAAUAGAAAGCCACGGCUAACUACGUG
rnacentral:rRNA from 1 species